rnacentral:rRNA from 1 species
UACGAAGGGGGCUAGCGUUGCUCGGAAUACUGGGCGUAAAGCGCACGUAGGCGGUCUUUUAAGUCGGGGGUGGAAAUCCAUGGAGCUCAACUCCAGAACUGCCUUCGAUACUGGAAGACUUGAGUCCGGGAGAGGUGAGUGGAACUGCGAGUGUAGAGGUGAAAUUCGUAGAUAUUCGUCAAGAACACCAGUGGCGAAGGCGGCUCACUGGCCCGGUACUGACGCUGAGACGCGAAAGCGUGGGGAGCAA